rnacentral:rRNA from 1 species
CUUAGCAAAUCGCAAAGUGAAAACAGGCGAUAAAUCAUUCAAGUUUCUGACCUAUCAGCUUUCGACGGUAUGGUAUUGGCUUACCGUGGCAGUGACGGUUAACGGGGGAUUAGGGUUCGAUUCCGGAGAGGGAGCCUGAGAAACGGCUACCACAUCUAAGGAAGGCAGCAGGCGCGCAAAUUACCCAAUUCUAACAGUUUGAGAGAGGUAGUAACAAGAAAUAACAAUACAAGGCAGUUAAAAUGCUUUGUAAUUGGAAUGAUAGAAAUUUAAACCCUUUUUAAAGUAUCAAUUGGAGGGCAAGUCUGGUGCCAGCAGCCGCGGUAAUUCCAGCUCCAAUAGCGUAUAUUAAAAUUGUUGCAGUUAAAAAGCUCGUAGUUGAAGUUCUGCUGAAAGUAACCGGUCUGCUUUUAAUAAAAGUGGUAUCUUGGUAUGUAUUUAGCAAUGAUGUCCUUUGAAGUGUUUUUUACUUUAUUGUAAUAAAGCAUAUUCAGGACUUUUACUUUGAGAAAAUUAGAGUGUUUCUAGCAGGCUGACGCUUUGAAUACUGCAGCAUG